UUCGAUUUUUCACAUUUUGAAAAUAGAGGUGCAAUUUGUUAACGGGAAUCGUAGCGGGUAGAUACCUAUGGCGACCCGAGAAGACCAAAUAAAAGACCUAAAGGAGAAAAACAAUGAAUUGGUGCAAAAAGUGCAGUAUUGGAAGAUGACGGCGGCGCAGCGCGAGGACGAAACUCGCGCUGAUGAAAGAAGUCAAUGAAUUAAGGCUUAAACUUAGCCGGCUCAGAAGCACUGGUGGCGUCCAGGCGCGUCAGUUCGACUCAGCCAUACAGGCGACGAGCGAACGUGCGCUCGCGCAUCUCGUCCAAGCGUCUGGGGAGAUCGCGCACACCAUAGAACUGGCCAAGACGUACAUGAGGGACAGGCAAGAACUAGACGCAGCAUCACCACGAUGGAGCGCUAUAGGUGGAACACCAACGAGAAGACUGACAAGAUCCACAGAGUGCCACCGAUGAUGAUAGGAGGACAGAGCAUACAACCGGUGGUUGCUUUAAGUAGGACCUUAUUUAAUACAAGCAAUACACAGCCAGCUUCAAGGAGUCCCAAUCGUAGCUUGACAGGGAGAGCGGUGCCCAUGCAUAUGUUACAAGAUGUGUAUAUACCACUGACAAGGAUAGACGCUGGCAAUAGACCAGCCGAUAAUGCGGAAGCGGAAACGGACGCGCAGGACGCGGACAAUAGCACUGAGGAGGUUGGAUUGGACGACAGCGUUGAGAGAAUGGACGACUCUCAGGAGGCGUCGGAAAGCGAAGACUUUGAUGCGUCUCGCAGGCUAGAUGCGGUGACUGAAGAUAUAGAGCCAGAAGAUGAAGUACAAACACCACAAACAAGGAAUAAAGUAGACAAUCCAUUGGAGGGUCCCAGUUGGUUGUUGGAUACACCCGAGCAAGCCCAGCAGUCAUCCAAAAGCAGGACCGGCAAUCUGGAGCCGGACUCCACGACCGAAGUAGACGAGGCGACGUGCGUGUCGCCGCCCAACAGUGAUCAGACUGAAGAUGAUGCGCAGCAGGGCGAGGCUGGCGUGGCGGCGCCGGUGUUCACGCCGACGGUGCGGCGCCGCAAGCGCACGCGCUCGCCCCGCGCGCGCACCCCGCCGCGCUCGCCCCGCGCCGCGCGCGCGCGCACGCACUCGCCCUUCACCCCCGUCACACUCGCGCAGCGGAGGACAGAUGUUUUGGAGCUGACUACGAUGUCAUCAGUACAUCAUGUCAUUAACAACGGUCGCGUGCUGAAGGUGCUAGUGGCGAAGAUGCGCCUGAGCAGCGGGUCGGAGGACGCGCUGACGUCGCCGCCGCCCGCACUCGCGCGCCUCGACGCGCCGAGCCCCAACGGCGCCACCGACGCCGCGCUGCUCGUGUCUGACACCAAUAAUGACGACACAAUGAGCCCAAUGGAAGUCUGCGCUCGAGAGCCAAUCGCACAGAGCAGUCGACGCGACAGCCGACAUGAUCGCACCGAAAGACACACCAAAGACGCCAAGCGGUCUGACCAUGCAGCACCCGAGCCUCACGACAAAUCGGACCACCACGAUAGAUCAGACCGACACGAUAAAUCGGAACACGACAGAACCGACCGACACGAUAGGUCGGAGGUGAAUCGGAGCGAUCGGUUCGUGAGUAUGGAGCGAGGGUCGCGCGCCGGCAGCGAGGCCAGCGUGCUCAGCAGCGACGGGCGCGACAGCGACAGCGACCCCGCGCGGGAGGGACGCACGCGCCGGACACGGAAACCUAUCACCUACAAGGAGAAACCGCUUAACAGAAAACUGAGGAGAUGAUUCAAAGAGCACUUCGCGGAAUGUUUAUGUCAUAUAUUGGCUGAGGAGUUGGUUUAACUCGCUAUGUAGACCAAACCGUACUGACCUAAGUGGUACAUAACUUAGGUAAUUAUAAUUAAAAAUGUUAAAUAUUAUUUCCAUGACAUUAAUAUUAAUUUAUGAAUAUAUUGAAUUGUAUAAAGUUUUGUCGAAUUCUACCGCCGAGGAGCAAUGUAAGCUGCUACGGUUUGAAGGACAUUGUGUUCUGUACUGAGUGUAAUAAGAAGUAAAUUGUAAUGUAUUUGAAACAAGCAGCAUAUUAGGCUUUGUAACCUACAGGUUAAAUGUUUAUUUUAAUAAUUAACCAAAGCCCUAACUGCGGAUAAAUGGUGAAAAUAAACCAAUCAAAUUAAUUUGUAAGCAUGAUAAAAAAAACUUAAUUCUGGUUGGUGCGUUUUUUACUCUUAAUCUGAAAUAUAU